CCAGACUCCUACGGGAGGCAGCAGUGGGGAAUAUUGCACAAUGGGGGAAACCCUGAUGCAGCAACGCCGCGUGAGUGAAGAAGUCAUUCGUGAUGUAAAGCUCUAUCAGCAGGGAAGAAAAUGACGGUACCUGAGUAAGAAGCCCCGGCUAACUACGUGCCAGCAGCCGCGGUAAUACGUAGGGGGCAAGCGUUAUCCGGAUUUACUGGGUGUAAAGGGAGCGUAGGCGGCAGUGCAAGUCAGAAGUGAAAGCCCGGGGCUCAACUCCGGGACUGCUUUUGAAACUGUACAGCUUGAUUGCAGGAGAGGCAAGUGGAAUUCCUAGUGUAGCGGUGAAAUGCGUAGAUAUUAGGAGGAACACCAGUGGCGAAGGCGGCUUGCUGGACUGUAAAUGACGCUGAGGCUCGAAAGCGUGGGGAGCAAACAGGAUUAGAUACCCGAGUA
rnacentral:rRNA from 1 species